CUCUAUAUCCUUGUGGUAGUGAUUUGCGGGCGUGCUGGACGUCCAACCUCACAUCUAGGCGGCUCUACAGUUGCUCCCCCCCUCAGUCUGUGCCUGCCCAUAGAGAAAAUUGCCAGAUGCUAGUGUGAGAAGCGCGCUUUGUUUGAUUUCUUUCUUUGAUUGAAUGAAGGUUUCUGCCCUGAGGGGAAGUGGGCCGCACUCGGAGGAAGUGCUACACCGAGACAACCCGUGACUGGGACGAGGCAAGCCUCUUUUCCACAGCUCAGUUCCAGAAAUCAUUUUAAUAUAUGAGCUGCUCAAUGAGCAGCGUAUCAGAUAUUAAGCUGAUAAGAACAAAUUUAAGUUUUGAAAUGAGUUUAUUCAGAAUAAACUACUUAAGUACAUGCUAAAAAAUGCAAGGCACGUGAGCUUGGCCCCUCACAAAAAGCUAUGUUCAUUUUCCCAUUAUAAAAUUACGGAAGUCAUCAAAAGUGUCAAUUGCGAUCAUAAGUUUACAUAACAUUUAACAAUGCUGAUCAUAAAAUUAUCUGGGAUUAUCAUAUAUACAAAAUAAUAUUUAACUAGGAAAACACUUUACAUACACUAUAUACAAAAAUCCGGAGUUAGAUUAUUCGCUCUCGAUUUCUAUGCGUGAUAGAAAUCUCGAGCUCAUAAUCUAAUUCUUUAAUGGUACUGGUGCAGCUCUGCUAUAACGUAUUCCGCUGUAAAAUUGCCGCCACCAGUUGAAUACCUGGCAAACAAGUGGUUACGUACUUUAUUGUCAUUGGAGGAAGUAAGGGGUACCCGGUAGAUAACAUAUCAGAUGACAAAGGACAAAAGCACAAAACUACUCAAGCCAAGAAGUGAACUGACGAUUCACCUGGCGUUUAUUCUAACCAACAUGCGAACCGAACUUGGACCAAGUUUCGUGUAGAAGACAGCUUACGAUACUCGUGAAUAUUGUGGAGUCCGACAGACUCCAGGAAGCGAUGAAAACCAAAUAAAACAAAAUGAAGCGCUCGUCAUUCCUUGGAUUCAGAUGAAUGUUAAAGAUAGCAAAGUUUAGUUUGACUCAAUGAGUGUUUAACAUCUUCAGUCUUCCACCAGGUCCCCCUUGAAAGGUUGAGGAGGGUCCCAGUGUCAGGUUAGAGACUACAAAGAACAAUAGAAGAAUUAAGAGUGUAGGUGAGUUGAUCAUGGAGGGAUAACGCAAUGAAAUACACUGGUAUUCUACAGGCUUUUCGUUUCCAGCUGGGACUAUGGCAAGCCAAGAGGAAGAAUGAGUUAGAGAAGAAUGAGUUAGAGGCUAACGUGCGACUAACACAUGCAGUGCCAAACAGGACAGAGCGAAGAGAAGAAAAAGAAAAAGUAAACAAAGAACUGUGAUGCUUUGUUCAAUUGAACAGUGUCCCUGAGGUACCUCAAAAAGUAGUUAGUGUCAGGUUCAUAUUGCCUUUAUUUUCAUCGAACUAGUUUGAAUAUAUUUUACUGGGUAGCCAAGUCACCUAAUACAGACUUCUACCGCGCUCCUUACAUGAUAAACACAGAUGAGUGCACCUUUUUCAAAUUUUCAUAGUCAAUAUAAUAAAAAGACUGACUGCAAGCAUUCCCUUCGAAUUCACUCCGGCCCUCUUGGAUCAUCAAGUAGGACUUUUCAGACAUAUCAGCAAGCAUUUCCAUGAGAUCAUCUUUUUUCUGAGUUUAGUUUAUGACUUUCACUGGUUCCAGGAAAAGAAAUGACUGCUUGACAGUCGUUUACAAAAGAAAUAAGUUAUUAAUCUAAUCAAAACGAGACUAAAUGUUUACUGAACUGUCCUACAUGAUAUGUAAUAAUUAGUGCUGAGGAAUGAAUUCAAAUAUUAAUAGUAAAUCGAAUUAGAUCUCAACUUAAAUUUUCAUGCAAGGCCGUAGUUUGCUCUGGGUAUUCAGCUAGGUAAGCGUUUUAUUAAAAUUUUUUUUUCGAAGCUUUCGUUAGGUCGAAGAUUUAGUUAAUUUACCUUUGAUUCGACUAAAUUUACGAAUAGCUACUUUGGGUCACUUCUGGCUUAAACAUGUCUGCAUCCAAGAUUUUUAUCCUGCGGAACUUAAAUUUUACUUAAAUAAGUGUCAAGAGACCCCACAGGUUGUUGUUGGCGAGUGGUAAUUGCCUGCCAUAUAAUCCAUCUUUGAUUCUCGUUUGCAAAUCUCUCUCUCAUAGCGUCACGCGUAAUUUUGUAAAGCUCUCCUUAUUUUCGUCAUCCAAGGAAUAAUAGAAGUAUUUCACAGCUCGCGAACAACAACAACAAUAAUAAUGAUAAUAAUAAUAAUAAUAAUAAUAAUAAUACCAUUAAUAACGCUAAGAAGAAAUAUUGCUAUAUUGCCAAAUCCCAAGGGUCCAAAUUCCACAUAAAAAUUAAUCUAAAAAUUAUAGUAAUUGAAAACCAGCAGAGAAACUUCAGAUAGAACUAAAGCAAUUAGAACGUAACGGUUAACUUAAAAAUGAGUGUUUAAAAGGCCAAGUUAAAAUGGUCAAUAUAAGAUCGGACAGUGCGGUGGGGCAAUUUAAAUAUUGUUCCAUUUUAUCAAGCGAGCUAUUUAUAUCUUCAGAACCGAAGCCAUGAAAUGAAGCAUGCCCUUGAGAACUAGAUGUAUCAGGAAUUGGAGCUUGUUCCAUAGCAUUGAUAGUUUGUUGGUGAAAUUCCCGAUGGUUCUGCUGUUGACUCCUUAAUUCCUGUUGCGCUGUUACAACUGGUACUUGCUGGCCACAAACCGCAAAGACGUUGUCUGUGGUCACCAAAAACAAUCUUGUUGUACUUGUUGACCACCUGCUGUAAAGUCGGUGUUUCCGGAAAAAUUUUCCUUUUGUCUAUUUUUUCUCUCUUUUUUCUCUCUCUUUUUCUCUCUUUCUUUUUCUCUUCCUUUUUCUAAAACUGAACAUUUUGGAACAAAAUUCAUCUGGAUCUUUUAUAUCCUGGUCUUCCAAUUCAGCGAGUACCUCUUCUCGCAAACAAUAGGCUCUCUGGAAGUCUGUAGCUAUAGGCGGGUCACUUGAACUCGCAUUGUUUUUGUGGCUGGGUUCGACCCAGGGGUUUCACGCUGACAUCGACGGGUUACAAAUUCGUCUUAUUUUCUAUAUCAGCUAUUUCUGGACGGGCUUCUGGUACUCCGGAAAUUUUCUCUUCUCCGAGGCUUCGUUCGCGUUGUAACUCGUAGGCUAUUUCACUUUCGUCGAAUGGCAAAUCGCAUUCAACACAGGCAUCAACCUUCGACUUGGGCGUACUGCUUCCGUACAAUUUUCUUCAGCUUCUCAAAUUGUACGGUUUUUUGGAAUAACUUCGAGAUGAAACUGUCAAUUUUUUUCACUUACUUGCUCGUCCGCUCCAAUGGGUUACAUUCCGUUCAGGACUGUUCUGAAUGUCUCCUGAUAAUUCCACCGUAACUACCACGCUUCUCCAGCACUAUGAUAAUAGGUUUUUGCCUGGGUAAGCUUUUCUAAAACCUGGGGAAAUUCUCUGUCUGCAGCGAGGCCAGGAUCUGUUACAGUAAUGUUAUCUACGGAGAACUGUAUAACAGAUAGAACUUGGGUCCAACAGUUGCCAUUUAAUGCAAGUAUUAAUCCUUAAACAAAGUGCCUCAUGUUAUUUAGGUCCGAAAUGUUUAUGUUCGCUUGUUAAUUUACAACAACAACAAUUUUAUUCACAAAAUGUUCAAAAGAGACUGAUCAAUACGCAUGCCUGUCCAGGUAGCAUGGACACCAGACGGCAAGCAAAUUGACUUGAAUAAGCUAAAAGAAAAAACAAAUACAUUAAAUAGUGGUUAAGCAGAAUCCAAACAAAACAAUACAAUACUAUACACUAGACACAUUAUGAUAAAUAUACUAUAAAAGACAAAACACAAAGUUAUUUAAAUAAUAAUAAUAAUAAUAAUAAUAAUAAUAAUUACAAUUGCGCAGUUUCUAUAAAAAUAUUCAACUGCACGUUCAAAUUAAUACAGAAAAUGAUUAUAAAGCUUAAAAUUUACAAUUCUAAAAUUCCGUUUAAUAAUAGAAUAAGUUACAAAUACUGCCAAUCAAAAUCUUAUUAAAUAACAAUUACUUGAUUAACCGCUCACGUAGCUAAUUAAUUAAAU